GUGACGCGCAUGAAUGGAU
rnacentral:ncRNA from 2 species